rnacentral:lncRNA from 1 species
CAGCAGCAACUAUAGCAAUGACAACAUCUCUCCCAAGCUCUUUUCCAUCCGGCCCCAACCGGACACCUAAGGUGAGCCGGAACCUCUGCCAUUACUUGCAGUUCGUUCUUGCGGGAGGUGCUGCGGACUCUUCCUGCGGAUGGAAAGCGUGGUCCCCACUCUGGAGACGACAGACGCAAAGAGGCCCACCUCUCCACCAUGAAUGGGAAUAAAGGCUCUGGCCCCCGCCCGCCUCACGCAACUGGCAACUGCCAUGGCUGCUGGGUGUCCAGGUGCCCUUUUCCUUGGCCCUUGGACAGGAGCUGACGCAGCAAAACCCGCUGCGUUCCAGUCCGCCCCGGCGUCACGGCUGGGAGUCAGGACAGACCUCAGAGUGACCUGUCCCCGCACACCAGGGCAAGCGUGCCGCGGAGGAUUUUUCCUGCUGGAGGGCAGCGUCCCAAGUCAGGCUCCCUGCUUUGCAGCAACUGCUCCGUGCGCUGCGGAGGCCUGCUGCUGUCCCCGCCGUGUGCCCAGAGAGGAAUGGUUGACGAAGGUCCAGAAUGCCAGCCAAGGUCCUCCUCCUCCUCCUCCUGCUGUUGAUUUGUAAAAAUUGAUCUUUCAGCACAGAACAGGACAAGAGGAACAAAUAAAUCCUCAUCUGAUUGUUUUCCGAAGAGGAAG